CGAAGGGUGCAAACGUUGCUCGGAAUUAUUGGGCGUAAAGCGCACGUAGGCGGCUUAGCAAGUCGGAAGUGAAAUCCCACGGCUCAACCAUGGAAGUGCUUUCGAAACUGCUGAGCUUGAGUACGAAAGAGGAUCGCGGAAUUCCCGGUGUAGAGGUGAAAUUCGUAGAUAUCGGGAGGAACACCAGUGGCGAAGGCGGCGAUCUGGGUCGAUACUGACGCUGAGGUGCGAAAGCGUGGGAGCGAACGGGAUUAGACUACCCCGGUAGUCCUAGCCUUAAACGAUGAAUGCUUGGUGUCGUGGGUUUUAUACGUCCCGGGUGCCGUCGCUAACGUCUUUAAGCAUUCCGCCUGGGGAGUACGGUCGCAAGACUG
rnacentral:rRNA from 1 species